rnacentral:rRNA from 1 species
CCUACGGGUGGCUGCAGUAGGGAAUAUUGGACAAUGGGGGAAACCCUGAUCCAGCGAUGCCGCGUGGAUGAUGAAGGCCUUCGGGUCGUAAAGUCCUUUUCUGAGGGAAGAACUGUCUGGCGAGGAAAUGCGCUGGAUUUGACGGUACCUCAGGAAUAAGCAACGGCUAACUCCGUGCCAGCAGCCGCGGUAAUACGGAGGGUGCAAGCGUUGCUCGGAGGGACCGGGCGCAGCGUGGUAGGAGGCAAGUGAAAUUCCAGGGCUCAACCCUGGACGUGCUUUGGAUACUGCCUGGCUUGAGUACGUGAGAGGAGAUUGGAAUUCCAGGUGUAGCGGUGAAAUGCGUAGAUAUCUGGAGGAACACCGGUGGCGAAAGCGGAUCUCUGGCACGUUACUGACGCUGAGGCUCGAAAGCAUGGGGAGCAAACGGGAUUAGAUACCCCUGUAGUC